GGACACGCAAACUUCUCAACAGGCCGUACCAAUAUCCGCAGCUGGUCUCCAAGGUGAAGAGUCUCUAGUCGAUAGAAUAAUGUAGGUAAGGGAAGUCGGCAAAUUAGAUCCGUAACUUCGGGAUAAGGAUUGGCUCUGAAGAUUGAGAUAGUCGGGCUUGAUUGGGAAACAAUAACAUGGUUUAUGUGCUCGUUCUGGGUAAAUAGAGUUUCUAGCAUUUAUGUUAGUUACUUGUUCCCCGGAUAGUUUAGUUACGUAGCCAAUUGUGGAACUUUCUUGCUAAAAUUUUUAAGAAUACUAUUUGGGUUAAACCAAUUAGUUCUUAUCAAUUAUAACGAUUAUCAAUUAACAAUCAAUUCAGAACUGGCACGGACUUGGGGAAUCCGACUGUCUAAUUAAAACAAAGCAUUGUGAUGGCCCUAGCGGGUGUUGACACAAUGUGAUUUCUGCCCAGUGCUCUGAAUGUCAAAGUGAAGAAAUUCAAGUAAGCGCGGGUCAACGGCGGGAGUAACUAUGACUCUCUUAAGGUAGCCAAAUGCCUCGUCAUCUAAUUAGUGACGCGCAUGAAUGGAUUAACGAGAUUCCUACUGUCCCUAUCUACUAUCUAGCGAAACCACAGCCAAGGGAACGGGCUUGGAAUAAUUAGCGGGGAAAGAAGACCCUUUUGAGCUUGACUCUAAUCUGGCAGUGUAAGGAGACAUAAGAGGUGUAGAAUAAGUGGGAGAUAUUAGACCUCGGUUUGGUAUCGUCAAUGAAAUACCACUACUCUUAUUGUUUCCUUACUUACUUGAUUAAAUGGAACGUGUAUCAUUUCCUAGCCAUUAUACGGAUAUAUUUAUUAUAUCUUAUGGUAUUGGGUUUUGAUGCAAGCUUCUUGAUCAAGUAUCACGAGUUUGUUAUAUAAUCGCAAACAAAUUCUUUAAUAAAACGAUGCAUUUAUGUAUUUUUGAUUUGAAAAUUUGGUAUAACUCCCAUUACUCAGGUAUGAUCCCAAUUCAACGGACAUUGCCAGGUAGGGAGUUUGACUGGGGCGGUACAUCUCUCAAAUAAUAACGGAGGUGUCCCAAGGCCAGCUCAUUGCGGACAGAAACCACACAUAGAGCAAAAGGGCAAAUGCUGACUUGAUCUCGGUGUUCAGUACACACAGGGACAGCAAAAGCUCGGCCUAUCGAUCCUUUUGGUUUAAAGAGUUUUUAACAAGAGGUGUCAGAAAAGUUACCAUAGGGAUAACUGGCUUGUGGCGGCCAAGCGUUCAUAGCGACGUCGCUUUUUGAUCCUUCGAUGUCGGCUCUUCCUAUCAUUGUGAAGCAAAAUUCACCAAGCGUUGGAUUGUUCACCCAUGCAAGGGAACGUGAGCUGGGUUUAGACCGUCGUGAGACAGGUUAGUUUUACCCUACUAAUGACAAAACGUUGUUGCGACAGCAUUCCUGCGUAGUACGAGAGGAACCGCAGGUACGGACCAAUGGCACAAUACUUGUUCGAGCGAACAGUGGUAUGACGCUACGUCCGUUGGAUUAUGCCUGAACGCCUCUAAGGUCGUAUCCGUGCUGGACUGCAAUGAUAAAUAAGGGGCAAUUUGCAUUGU
rnacentral:rRNA from 1 species